GAACCAGCUUGGAUGUGCCCCACAACAGGCCGUCGGUCUGGAUAGAGCGCACACACUCCUCCAACUUCACCAUGUCUGUUUCAUCAUCCCACUGGAAAAAAAAAACAUGUGGAAGGAAUCAUGAGACCAGCAGAAAACAGGCCGGUGGACAAGACGCGUGGUCCUUCUAGAGAGGAUGACAACGACGAGGAGGAAGAAGAGGAGAAACAGCAAAGACAGUUGCGGUUACGGGUGGGAGGAGCAAAGAAUGGUAAUACGACUAUAAUUAAUUAUAGUAAAAUAUUACUCUUUUAGAAUGCCUAAACAAUAAUAAAAAGUAUUUAUUGUACCAGCGUGUGCUGAAAAUAAAGGAUAUAUUGGAUAAAGGUGAAGAUGGAGGUGAUACUUCUGAUGAGGUUGUAUCGUUAGAUUUUUUUUGACGGAUUUGAACAACUUCUUAGAUAUCUGUUAUAUUAUGUUAUGAUGUAACACUUACUGUUAUAGUUAAAUAUUUUUAAAGACUGCGAAAUUAUUGGUCCAAAAAAAUGCAGCUCAAUUAACCUAACAAUAAGCAAUGUAACAUGACACUGCUCAAUAUGUACCGUAAUAUAACCCGCAAAACAAAGUUAGGAACGCUCCAUUGUUCACUGAAGUAAUGUGGGGAAAACAAUGUAAGUAUUUGGUUAUGCAUUAAAUUGUACAUGGAAACCAACUUCAGGUUAACUAGUAAUGGAUUAUUCGAGGGUGAUAAAUCCAGUUUAGGCUGCAGACAAAAUAUUUUAGGUGAUGGCACACAGAAUAACCAAUAGUGACCUGGAACAUUUGUUAAGCAUAAUUCUGGUUCCUGAAUCAGUCAAAAAUAUUAAAAUGACAAAGCACUGGAGAACUUCCAAGUUUCAGAAUAAUUAAACCGAGCUUUGCUUGAGACUUCACCAUUAUCAGGAGAAUGGAUUCAUGGACAAACUACAUCUUUUAAUAGCAACAUUUAAUUACUUAUUAACUUAAAUAAAUUAAAAAAAAUAAGGCAAUGUACAAGGAGAUCUUUUUCACAACACGUCACAGAUAUUUAUACAGACUUGGCUUUGUAGAAGAGAAAUGUUGGCUUUUACUAACAUUGAUGCUAGCUUUUAAUUUUUAAACAAAUUAUAGUGUGCUACAU